UUAAAAGGUUUGGUCCUGGCUUUAAUAUCAACUACAACUAGAUUUACACAUGCAAGUCUCCGCACACCAGUGAACACGCCCAUAAUAUUUAAGGAGCUGAUAUCAGGUACAAUAAAAUUAGCCAAUAACAUCCAGCUAUUUAAAGCCACUCCCACAAGGGCUCGCAGCAGUGAUAAAUAUUGAAAUAUAAGCACCAGCUUGACUCAAUCAUAGUUUUUAGAGUUGGUUAACCUCGUGCCAGCCACCGCGGUUAUACGAGAAACUCAAGUUGAUAUAUCACCGGCGUAAAGAGUGAAAAAGAGACACUAAAAACUGAGAUUAAACCCUUAUCCAACUGUCAUACGUUCUUAUUAGGUAUUAUACUCAAUCGCAAAAGCAAUCUCAAUAUCUAAGACUAUCCUAAUCACGACCGCUGAGACACAAACUGGGAUUAGAUACCCCACUAUGCUCAACCACAAAACUUGACCAUCUACAUAUAAUAUCCGCCAGAGCACUACGGGCAACAGCCUAAAACUCAAAGGACUUGGCGGUGUCCUAACCCUAUCAGAGGAGCCUGUUCUAUAAUCGAUAAUCCACGUUACACCCAACCAUCCUUUGAUUAAUCAGCCUAUAUACCACCGUCAACAGCCUACCUUAUGAGAGAAAUAAAAGUUAGCAAAAUGAACAACUUCAAUACGUCAGGUCAAGGUGUAGCACAUAGGAUGGAGAGAAAUGGGCUACAUUUUCUUUUCAAGAAUAUACGAACGGUAAAAUGAAAACAAACCCGAAGGCGGAUUUGAUAGUAAGAAGAAAUAAUUUAUAUUCUUCUUAAAAUGGCUCUAGGACGCGCACACACCGCCCGUCACCCUCAUCAAAAAUAUUGAAUCUAAAUAAUUAAACACAUAUACACUUAUAAGACGAGGUAAGUCGUAACAUGGUAAGCGCACUGGAAAGUGCUCUUGGAAUAAU
rnacentral:ncRNA from 1 species